rnacentral:rRNA from 1 species
UCUCGAGAUCUGUUUUCCGCGCUGGACCAUGUACAAGUCCCUUGGAAUAGGGCGUCAUAGAGGGUGAGAAUCCCGUACUUGACAUGGCCUCCCAGUGCUUUGUGAUACAGGCUCAACGAGUCGAGUUGUUUGGGAAUGCAGCUCAAAAUGGGUGGUAAAUUCCAUCUAAAGCUAAAUAUUGGGGAGAGACCGAUAGCGAACAAGUACCGUGAGGGAAAGAUGAAAAGCACUUUGGAAAGAGAGUUAAACAGUACGUGAAAUUGUCAAAAAGGGAACCGUUUAAAGUUAGUCAUGCUUUGCCCUGGACUCAGCCUUUGCUUUUGCUUGGUGCAUUUCCAGGUUAGGCAGGUCAGCAUCGGGUUUUGACUGCUGGAUAAGGGUGAGAGGAAUGUGGCACCUUCGGGGUGUGUUAUAGCCUCUUACUGGAUGCAGCAGUUGGGACCGAGGAACGCAGCGCGCCUUUAUGGCGGACCUUCGGGUACCUUCGCGCUUAGGAUGCUGGCAUAAUAGCUUUAAGCGACCCGUCUUGAAACACGGACCAAGGAGUCUAACAUGUCUGCGAGUCUUUGGGUGGCAAACCCAUAGGCGCAAUGAAAGUGAAUGCAGGUGGGAUCCUCACGGAGCACCAUCGACCGAUCCAGAUCUUCUGUGACGGAUUUGAGUAAGAGCAUAUAUGUUGGGACCCGAAAGAUGGUGAACUAUGCCUGAAUAGGGCGAAGCCAGAGGAAACUCUGGUGGAGGCUCGUAGCGGUUCUGACGUGCAAAUCGAUCGUCAAAUUUGGGUAUAGGGGGCGAAAGACUAAUCGAACCAUUAUGCAACCUACCUUUACGGGUAAUGCUAGGUGGACAAAAGGCAACUAAAAGUGUUGGCCUAGUGUAUUCAGUGGUAUGCGACAUCUUCAAAUUGCGGGGACGUCCGAUGCACAAGCUACCGCCUUGCUAUCGAAAGAUGAGCAUUGGCACCGGGGUAAUGACCUAGGGUAUGGUAAAAACGCUUGGGUGAAGGAGUCUGAUAUGACUCUGAAAAGGAUAAUCCGCAGCCAAUCUCUAAGUUGUAGUAAUACAAUACGAGUGCAGUUCACAGACUAAAUGGAGAUGGGUUUCCCCCCCUAAAUGACAACUAUUCAUGGGAGGGGGAGCUUAAGAUAUAGUCGGCCCCCUGUGAGAGCAGGCCAAGUUGAUAAAGAGUAAUGACUUCCACUGAAACCAAUGAG